AUUGAACGCUGGCGGCAGGCUUAACACAUGCAAGUCGAGCGGGGUGAUGGUGCUUGCACUAUCAUUAAGCGGCGGACGGGUGAGUAAUGCUUAGGAAUCUGCCUAUCAGUGGGGGUCAACAAGUCGAAAGGGAUGCUACUACCGCAUACGUCCUAGGGUGGAAAGCAGGGGACCAAUUGUGACCCUCAGCUAAUAGAGGAGCCUAAGUCGGAUUAACCAGUUGGUGGGGUAAAGGCCUACCAAGGCGACCAUCUGCAGCCGGUCGGAGAGGAUGGUCCGCCACACUGGGACUGAGACACGGCCCAGACUCCUACGGGAGGCAGCAGUGGGGAAUAUUGGACAAUGGGGGGAACCCUGAUCCAGCCAUGCCGCGUGUGUGAAGAAGGCCUUAUGGUUGUAAAGCACUUUAAGCGAGGAGGAGGCUCUUUUGGUUAAUACCCAAGAUGAGUGGACGUUACUCGCAGAAUAAGCACCGGCUAACUCUGUGCCAGCCGCCGCAGUAA
rnacentral:rRNA from 1 species